rnacentral:tRNA from 1 species
GCCUGGGUGGCUCAGCUGGUUAAGCAUCUGAUUCUAGCUCAGGUCAUGAUCUCAGGAUCAUGGGAUCAAACCCAUGUCAGGCU